UCGAUCCCAACAUUGAUCUCUAGCCCUUGACUUUGGUCGUUGGCCCUCAAAAGACCUCAUAAUAGUCCUGUCAUUUCAUCCUAUUUAAAAAGGACAAUGGCCAUAGAUAAAGCAAAACAAGCGCCAUUCUUAUCUUCUGAUUGUCAAUCCAAAUAAUUAAUGAGGGUGACUCCCACUUGCUAUGAAAUGACAUCAAUCUCCAACUUUUGUAUAACCAAA
rnacentral:lncRNA from 1 species